GUAUUUCAAGAGAAACUUACUUUAAGCUUAGCAGUUUCUAAGUCCUCUGGAGUAAACACUGAACCAUCAAUGCUUCCUAUUCCAGCAAUGGAGAAGCCUUUAUCUAGCCUGGAAAAGUGAUCUCCCAUUCCUGCCCCUCUCCAAGCCAAAGCAGGCAGUUAAAAUGUCACUUAACAUUCUGGAGAAUGUGAAAUAUAUUGUACAUUGUCAACUCCCCAAAACCAUAAAACUAACUUUAUGGACCUCACGUGACUUUUGAGAGCCAGUGAGGGGUAUCUGGCUGAGGUCUGGGCGAUUUUUACGAUCUAACUUCUAGAUAAAACCCUAUCCAUUUGACAUCUUAAUGUCACAGCCACUUUUGGUAUACUUACUUACUUUGCUAUGGGUAAAAUAUAUGUGUGUGUGUGAGAGAGACUCUGUGUAUUCAAGGGAAGGCGAGAAAAUGGGUUGUUUUGGAAAUGACAACUCACAUCCCAGUCCUCUCAAAACCACUUAAGAAGUAACCAAAGAGUUUGGGCUCCUUCGAAGAGAAAUCGCCUAUGUCGACUCCAUACACCCCGGAGGGAAGCAUCUCGUCGAACUGGCCUCUGUGCAAAAACUUCCUAAAUUGAGUGGAUGUACUCGAUGACAAGCAAGUCUGGUUAGAUCGUUCUUCGUGGGGAGAGGAAUAGAUUUAAAGGUGUAGGGAAAUAAGGGUGGAUUCGCUCACUCAGGCCACAAUCCAGCAGGAAGGUCUCCUGCGCAAGUGAAACAAGGAAGGGGCUCCGCAUGACAAAGGACUUCUACAAGA